UACGUAGGGUGCAAGCGUUAAUCGGAAUUACUGGGCGUAAAGCGUGCGCAGGCGGUUAUGCAAGACAGAUGUGAAAUCCCCGGGCUCAACCUGGGAACUGCAUUUGUGACUGCAUGGCUAGAGUACGGUAGAGGGGGAUGGAAUUCCGCGUGUAGCAGUGAAAUGCGUAGAUAUGCGGAGGAACACCGAUGGCGAAGGCAGCCCCCUGGGUCAAAACUGACGCUCAUGCACGAAAGCGUGGGGAGCAAACAGG
rnacentral:rRNA from 1 species